rnacentral:rRNA from 1 species
GACGAACGCUGGCGGCGUGCUUAACACAUGCAAGUCGAACGGAAAGGCCCUGCUUUUGUGGGGUGCUCGAGUGGCGAACGGGUGAGUAACACGUGAGUAACCUGCCCUUGACUUUGGGAUAACUUCAGGAAACUGGGGCUAAUACCGGAUAGGAGCUCCUGCUGCAUGGUGGGGGUUGGAAAGUUUCGGCGGUUGGGGAUGGACUCGCGGCUUAUCAGCUUGUUGGUGGGGUAGUGGCUUACCAAGGCUUUGACGGGUAGCCGGCCUGAGAGGGUGACCGGCCACAUUGGGACUGCGAUACGGCCCAGACUCGUACGGGACGCAGCAGUGGGGAAUAUUGCACAAUGGGCGGAAGCCUGAUGCAGCAACGCCGCGUGCGGGAUGACGGCCUUCGGGUUGUAAACCACUUUCGCCUGUGACGAAGCGUGAGUGACGGUAAUGGGUAAAGAAGCACCGGCUAACUACGUG